CGGGACGGGUGAGUAACGCGUGGGUAACCUGCCUUGUACAGGGGGAUAACAGUCAGAAAUGACUGCUAAUACCGCAUAAGCGCACAGGACCGCAUGGUCCAGUGUGAAAAACUCCGGUGGUAUAAGAUGGACCCGCGUUGGAUUAGCUGGUUGGUGGGGUAACGGCCUACCAAGGCGACGAUCCAUAGCCGGCCUGAGAGGGUGAACGGCCACAUUGGGACUGAGACACGGCCCAG
rnacentral:rRNA from 1 species